GCGUUCCCCCGCGGCCAAUGCAGGAGAUUCUUGCAGUUCCCGUCUCUCCGCCUGGAGCUCGGGCAGGAAGAUGGCGGGGACCGCAGAGUUGAUGCUGCUGGAGAAGUCCCUAGGGCUGAGUAAAGGGAACAAAUACAGCGCUCAGGGCGAGCGCCAGAUUCCCGUUCUUCAAACAAACAAUGGUCCAAGUCUAAUAGGAUUAACUACUAUAGCCACUCAUCUAGUCAAGCAAGCCAACAAAGAGUAUUUGCUUGGGAGCACCGCAGAAGAAAAAGCAAUAGUUCAACAAUGGCUAGAAUACAGGGUAACUCGGGUAGACGGACAGGCCAGUAAAGAUGAUGUCCGCACUCUGUUGAAGGAUCUUAAUUCAUAUCUUGAAGAUAAAGUCUACCUUACAGGAUAUAACUUCACCUUGGCAGAUAUCCUAUUAUACUAUGGACUUCAUCGCUUUAUAGUUGACCUGACAUUUCAAGAAAAGGAGAAAUAUCUUAAUGUGUCUCGCUGGUUUUGUCACAUUCAGCAUUAUCCAGGCAUCAGGCAACAUUUGUCCAGCGUUGUCUUCAUCAAGAACAGACUAUAUACUAAUUCCCACUAGAAGAUACCCGUGCUGUACAGAAGAGUGAUUAAAAAUAUUCUAAAUGGGAAGUGUAUUCAGGACCAGAGGACUAACGUAAGGAAACAGGCACAGAUUGGUUAAGGAACUUGCACAAGGUCACACAACCAGUAUCAAGAGGCUGGGAUUCAGACAAGUGUCUGGCUCAAACUUAACUUGUAACCACUUUACCAGUGUGCCAGUAAAGCUCUGCUUAAUCAACUUGAGAAAUUAAUUUUUACCUAGAGAAAAGCUACCCUAGGCAGUGGAUAAAUGUAUAGAUAACUUCAAGAAUAAAUGAAAUGGUUACACUAUGUAUACACUAAAACUCCUGACUUGAACUCUAAACAGAUAAAUUCUGUGAUAAGUGAAUCAUAGCUCAAUUAAGCACUUAAAAAAAGUGGAGUCAAAUACAUCAAUCUCACCAUAAAUUUGUUAUGACACUUUGGAUAAGUCACUGCUCAUGAAAUUGCUUUUAUGAAAUAGAGGUAAAGAUUACUGAGCUCAUUGAUUUGUUUUCAAUGUAUAAAACUUACUGGCGUAGUGCUAAAUACACAGAAUGUGAUCAGCGAAGGACAAACCACUGCAGAGGAUCGUAAAAUCAUAACCUGUGAUUUUAUAAGGUAAAUUCUUAAACUAAUUGUCUUUUCCCACCUGCUGUCCCUGCACUUGCACAACAUGAGCCCAUCUGAGAGAAGACAACUUGGCAGAGCAUUCUGUGAUUUUGGUAAAUCACGAAUUCAUCUUAUUACCAGUUUGGUCCUCAUUUUUUCAAGCUAUGUACUUCUAAAAGAUCAGUGAGACUUCUGUAAAAGAAAGUGGGGCCAUCUUUGUUCAUGCUAUUCCUUCUGAAGAGUGAAUUCCCCUUCCAACCCAUUUUCUUUCUGCAAUUCCCAGAAGCACUGAUCAUUUAACAAUCCCUCAAAUACGUACUUAGCACCUACUGUGUAUCAGAAUCUGUGCUGAGCCCCAGAGAUAACACAAUUACAUCCUUGCUCUUAUAGUGUACAGUGAACUAAUUCCUGAAACUGUAAAACAUUCUUUGGGAGGCUGCCAGCUAUUCAGCACUCUUAGAAAGUAAAUAGAAGUAAUCAAUAACCAUUUACCAAGCAUCUACUAUGUUCCAGACUAUACCAGACACUUUACAACAUUCACAUGAACUCACGUUAAUUUAGGAGCUGGGAGAGGCAGAUACCCACAUGCUCAUUAGACCAUGGCCAGAGUGAUUGGGAAUUGUACAAUUUCAGAGUUAGAGGACAUAAUCUGUCACCAUAUUAUGCAGUGGGGUUGAUUAGAUUGUCAUGGCUAGAUACAGGGCUCUGUCUCCAUAUUCCACAUGCAACUUUUGAAAACAAAAAAUGUCAAAUAGAGAAGGAUCAUUCUUUAGUCAAGGAUCCAUGAAUUUUCACUAAUUGAACACUGGUUUUAAAACAGGAAUAAUGAAAUUGGAGACAAUAUUAAAAAGCCAUUUGUCUUUAGGCACAGUUAUAGCCAAAGCAUCCAAGAUGUGAUGAAGCUUGUGGAGUUUUGUGGUUGUAAUCUCUAGUAACAGCUGUUACAUUCGGUAAAAAAAAAAAAAAAAAAAAAAGGCUUACCUUCAGGAAUGACAUAAUCAUCUCUCCAUCUACUGGUUAAACUCCACCCCGUCCCCAUCCAGAAUUAUAAUAAGAUUAUUGCCCUAAGGUUUUUAACAAGUAUGUGGGUAUUCUCAUUUUUACUCCCUGUUAAACAUAGGUCCUCUGUUGGCUCCACCCACUUGAGCAUGAAGCCACAGUUAACCAGCCAGUAAUAGGCACAUUUGGUGUCCUGCAGGAAGGGGAAGAUGCCCACUGCAGGUGCACCAUAUGAGUGAUGCUGAAAGUUCUUCCAGAAAAGCUUCAAGAUGUGUUGAUAAAAAUUUAAGCAGACAUUGUUAGGAAGAAUAUAACUAUUAUAAUCAGGUACAUGUACAUCACAAUGAAAGAUAAAAUGUACAAUUAUUUGACAAGUAGAUUAGAAUUCUUGUGAAGUAUAGUGUUUUCAUUUCUAACAUUUAACUUCAUUCCUUCAAAAAAAAUGCUACAUGAAGUUUAAUAAUCUAGCUUUGGCAGAGAUGUGGUGGUUUGAUGGAUUAGAGCAUUUAGCUUUUUACCCCUGAGAGCAAUAUUUCUUUCUCUAUGUAAUUAUAUAAUCUGCUCCCACCCAUUACCAGGGCACUAAAUUUCAAAUUCUCCAUACACCUAAUCAGGCUGCUACAUAUCUGGCCACCUUAAUUUUAGUCGUGAUUUAUUGAAGCUGAAUUACAUUCCUAACUUCCUCGGUGAAUUUUAUUGCAAAAGCAUUGGGGAGGAAGUUACCAUCAUAUAUCUCUCUUUCUGGGCAGAGCUUUUAGGUACACAAGGGGCUCUAUAUCCCACUGCUUCAUGUCUUGUAUGCUGGGUUUAUUAACACUGUGAAGCCCAGCUCUAGGGUUGCAUACAGGCAUAUCAGAGAUAAGAUGGGGAAUUUGAUUUUGCAAUAAUGACUAUUUGCUGUAGUUCCCAUUCCUGCAGGCUCUGCCUUUAUUCCCAAUACUGCUGGUGAAUAAAACUAAUUCCAACUGCUCCCUAAUCUAGCAAAACUCGUCUUUCACUUACAAGAGAGGCCAAAAGAAGGAAGUCAGGAGAAUCUCAGAUGUUGGCCAUUUUUGCUAUUAUGUCUCAAGGAUUUCUCUUCCCAUUAUCUUAAUUCUUUUAGAAAUGUUUACAUCUUUUAAACUUUCAUUUCUUUGUGGGGAGAGUGAGAGCUUUUGCAUCAUUUCCAGCCAGAUGAGUUACUCUGGUGGCUCAUUCGUGCUGUCUCUUCCACUUCAGGGGCUGGGUCCCUCGGGCUAGCCAGCCAUAUUAUGGAUCCUGCAGAUCCUCACAGAUUUGGCUUGCCAUUUCUGCUGAGUGUCAUCUGUCCUUGCAGUCUUGCAGUGGAUGAUUUUUGUCCUACCUAACAUCAUCUGCUUGAAGAAUUUGUGCCUCGCAGAUCUGUCUAUCCAAGUUAAGCUUGAAAUACACUAGCCACACAAUUAAUUUGACAAGGCAUAGUGCCAAACAAUAAGGCCACACGCUUGCUUUGACCAAGACCACAAACUUCCAGCCAUUUGAUUACCAAUUCCAAAGUUCCUGCAGUGCAGUCCAUGAGUUAGUCUAUUCAUGUAGUGCAGGUUAUCCUUCCUCCACUGCCCGACCUUUCCCUGACCUUCUGCAACACACACACACACGCAAGCACACACAUCCUUAUCUUAAAAGCCCUUAAGAUAGUUUUAACCUUCAUAGCUUUGCAGUUCCUUACUGUUUCCAGCAUUUGCCUUAAACCGUGUCACUUGGAUAAAAGAACUCUAGAGGUGGAUACAUUGUCAGAAUUUUGGGGAAUGGGUCACAGACACUUCACUCAAACGGUGGUUGUCAGGAGUUAGCAUGCAUGAGAAUCCCCUGAGGCUUCUCAAACCACAGACUGCUGGGCCCCCAUUUGAGUUUCUGACUCCAGAGGUCUGAUGUGCCCACAUGAUGAGGGCCACUAUACUACAUCCGUCUGGAGCUUGGAUGACAGCCAAGUAUAGAGCAGCUGAAUUCAUCCAAAUACUCAUGCUUUUCGUUUUUGCAUAGCUGAGUCAAACUUCCAGGUGUGGCCAGUGCGGUGAUAUGGACCUCCGCAUUCCGAUCAGUUGGCCCUACCAUAGCAGCCUUCAGAAAAGUGCUGAGUGAUCUCCAAGUGACAUAGCUACACUAGAAGCCUGUCUGGGGGAAUAAGCAGGAUUUGGUACAAGAAGGUUCGGUACAGGGCUAGAAAGUUGCUGCCAUCCAGAAGACGGCUGAUGCCACUGCACAGCCUGCUACUCGGCACCUUCACUCUCAGGCCUAGUUGGCCAGAUGCAGCUCCAAGUCUUCAUGAGAUGAAUGUGCAAUAAUAUUUACUAUCUUACCCCAAAACACCCCCUUAAGCUUGUCCCCUCCUCAGUUUCUUCCAUUUAAUUUUCUUAACCUUCAAAAAUAGUUAGACAAAAGGAGAUAAACAGUAAUGCCAACAGAAAAUGUUCCAGAAUAAAUUUCAUAAACUGGAUUGAUAAAAAGCAAAAUAAAUUUAGUAGUCCCCCCUCCCCAGUAUGCCUGUCCUUGAUGGGCUUACACUAAGGAAUGAAUUUCAAUUUUGUUCUCAAAGUACAUGUAAUUAAAAACAUGUUUUUAUUUUCUAAUUUUCAUAAGAUUGAAUAUGGAGGUAGCAGAUUAUUUACCCCAAAUCAGAACUUUACUUCUACUAAAUUAACAUUAUUUCCAUGAUUUAGAUAUCUUAACUCUCAAAAAAAAAAUAAUUGGAAAAAUCCCUUUGUAAUUCCAUGGCUUCAAGUGCCUGAUUUUUUUGUUCAAGUGUCUGAUAUUGAGUCUCUGAAAAAUGGUCUUAUACAAAGUGCUAUGCAGGUAAAAAAAAAGAGCUAUUCUUAAAAACACAAGAGAAGCACUUAGGGUGUGAUUGCAUUUAUGUAAUAUUUUUGAAAUGACAACAUUUUAGAAAUGGAGGAUACAUUAUUUAUAGGUUGGGGUUGGGGGCCAGGGCAGGGACUGAGAGCAAGGUAGGUGUGGUUACACUGGGGAAUCCUUAUGAUUUUGGAACUGUUUCAUACCCUGACUGUGAUGAUGGCUGCAUGCACUUACACAUGAUAAAAUUGUAGAGAUCAAAACACACAAGUAAAAGGGAAUAUCUGAAUAAGAUUGGUGGAUUGUAUCAAUAUCAAUAUCCUGGUGGUGGUAUUCAUAUUUGCAAAAUGUUACCAUUGGAAGGAAAUGGUAAAGCCUACAAGGAAUUGCUCUGUAUUUCUUAUAAGUGUAUGAGAAUCCACAAUUAUCUCAAUAAAAG